AGCAGCCGCGGUAAUUCCAGCUCCAAUAGCGUAUAUUAAAGUUGUUGCAGUUAAAAAGCUCGUAGUUGAAUUUCGGGAUCAGCAGGUUGGUCUUGCCACUGGUAUGUACUAGCUUGCUGAUUCCUCCUCCUUGUAGAACCGUAAUGCCAUUAAUUUGGUGUUGCGGGGAAACGGGACUGUUACUUUGAAAAAAUUAGAGUGUUUAAAGCAGGCCAGCGCCUGGAUACAUUAGCAUGGAA
rnacentral:rRNA from 1 species